GUAAAGAAGACACAUGGGAUGAUCGUACUGUUGUAUAUCCACCCGUAACAAGCAAAACAUUCCCAGUCCUGGAAAUUCUCUGGUUGCUCUUUGGGUAAUAGUUUCCUCCCAAAAAAUUGUUUCUCUCUAUACCCAAUUGCACUAUUAAUAUCAGACACAAAUGCCUGUUUCGGCUGCGGCAGUGGGCUCAAUUUCGGCCUUUCUCUCACAUUUCUUUGGUACUGAGAGUGCUACUGUCAAAAACUCACAGCCAUCUUUGAGCCUCACCCGCAGUUCAUCAGACAGAAGGCAGCCAGUGAUGGGUGCGCCUAAAUUCUCAGUCUCCAGUGACAGCAACACUAAAACUGACGGGGUGGUGGAUCAGUCUUCUUUGUCGCCUGAUGAAACAAAACAAGCUCGGGUGUGUUCCCUCAACAAUUUUUUUUUUAAAUUGUGGCUUCCCAAGUUUAUUUAAGAAGAGCGAAAAAGAAAUGCUAAAUUAAUGAAUAAACUGAAGAACACAUAUCCGAUAUUCCUGGAUUGAUGGGGUUUCACCUUGACUUGCAUUGCUAUGACCGAGAACAAGAUAAAGAAAAACACAAAAGUUGCGAAGAAAGAGAAGGGAUCAGGUAGAUUCUGACUAUAGUCAUAAAAAAAGUCAUAUUAAGUUUAGCCAAACAUGCUCUAACUGGCUAUACACUCUAAAAGGUCAUAGUUUAAUCAUAACUUCAUAUUAUGCUAAUAUUGGUGAAAUUAUAUUGAUCGUUAUUGUUUAGGCUGUAUUAUAGGGGUGUGGCGUGGUGUUCUGAGAUUAAAAUUAGAUAAAAUUUAAGAAAAGUUUUAAGAGGAUAAUUUUCUGGCCCCUGUUAAAAAGCAAGAAAACAGAGUUUUAAGGUACUUGAGUGGACGAGUAGAAGUCUAUACCAUAAAUUUGGCAGUUAUCCCCCAGCUACUUGUUUGUUGUAGUGUUUAUGAACUGAUCUGGGAGAGUCUUGAACUGCUUUUGAUUUUAGUUGCAGGUAGCUCUGGUGUGAAUUCUCAGCAAGUAGUACCUCUUAAAAGUGACUGAUUUUGCCAAUCGGAGAAUACAUGUCGUGAGCAACUUUGUUUCAUUCAUGUCUUAUUAGUGCUAGCUAUUGAACUUUUCAUGCAAACUAGUGAAUUGCAUGUCCAGCUGAAAUAUGCAGCCAAAUUCCAACACUAAGUUUGAAUAAAAUUAGUCCAUAGGACAAAAAGAAAUCAUUAACAAUUUAGCAUAGUUUCUAUUUUCUUUUGUUUCUUUGGCCUUUUCUGUCUUCAGGGGGAAAGAUAUGGCAGCCUCAAUGGACCAUUAUAUUAAUUAAGAGUGUUUAAACAAUUGUUGCAAUACUCUGUCUGACUUACUGAUAUAAAGAAUCCGAAGAGAAACUGUGUAAUAAUGUUUAAGUUGUGCUUCUAGAAUAGAUCCACCUGGUUGGGUUAGUUAUUUUGAUUUGACAUAAAUUCUUUCUAAAGGCUGCUUACAUAAUACUAUGUUACUUAAAGAAAUAGAGGUCUGCUGACUGGAAAGUUGCAAGGGCGUAUAAUGAGAAAUGACUCAUUUAUGACGGCAGGAUUAAAGGUUUCAAUGUUGGCAGAUUUUACUCUCUUCUUGGUUUUCUUCCUUUUCCACUGUUG
rnacentral:lncRNA from 1 species